rnacentral:rRNA from 1 species
GCAACCCGCCUGCGUGAAGUUGGAAUCGCUAGUAAUCGCGGAUCAGCAUGCCGCGGUGAAUACGUUCCCGGGCCUUGUACACACCGCCCGUCACACCAUGAGAGUCGGGAACACCCGAAGUCCGUAGCCUAACCGCAAGGGGGCGCGGCCGAAGGUGGGUUCGAUAAUUGGGGUGAAGUCGUAACAAGGUAAC